UUAUAGAAGGGACUCCUUUGCUGAUGUGCAUAAUGGCAGGCUGAGUCCUAGGGUACUUUGCAUCUAGACUCUAAUGCUAGAUUUAAUUCACAGCUAAAACCUAAUGUUAAUAUCAAAUGGACACAUAGGAGGCAUAUCUGCUAGAAACCUGGUACCUUGGAGCUUAUUGUUGUGGCAAAUUUGUACAAGCUGCAAUAAACACCUUGAUCUGGAUGGCCAUGGUUACGUGGAGUGCACAUCUCGGGCCUUUCUGAGGCCUGGGACCACAUAGCGUCCAGCUCCUUGGAGCUAGCAUGUAACAACCUUUGAUAUUUAUGCAACAUUUUUUUGCAAUGUUCUUGGGGUGGGGAGAGGCCUCUGUGUUCUCUUCCUGAUGCAAAAGCAGAGAGUGAAUGGCAUCUUAUGGGCCAGUGUUGUAUUACAUGCAAGCAUAGCAUCCUACUAUCCUUUGGCUGCAUUCAUCCUAUUCAUUGCUUUCAUAAUUUGUUUUAUUUCUUUGUACCUAUCUUGGUAAGUUGAUCUGGGGAGUGUUGGAGGGUGGGGGGUUGUUUGUUUGGUUUAAAAUUUUUUUUAACUUGAAGACCAGACUGAAACAGUCCAGAAGGAAGGUAUUUUCUCUGCUCUCCGUUUUGCAUCUGUUUGUUACUUGCCCAUCACUGCAGUUUAUGGCACUUGCAGGCACCUGCCUUGAGGGAAGUAAGAGAGUAAGUAACACACCGACGCUGGAGUGCCAGGGGAGUGUAAAGUUGCCAUAGUUCGCGGGAGGUGGGGACAAAGUUCAGGAAAGGCUCACAGUGGUCUGCAGACAGCUGGGAGAGAUGCAAAGGGAUCUUUGAUGAAACCAGUGCUGAGGAAUCCAGAGGGAGUUAGUACCCAAACAUGCGUGGUUCAGCCCUGCCAGUCUUGUAGUUCAGUGACGGUAUGAGUCAGACUCUCUUUGGUCUGAAUGAAGUGGAAGGUACUUUCUACAAAGCAACUCAAGCAUAUGCCAAGGAUCCGGAUAAAUAAAACUAAUUCAGAAAAAGGGAGUGGGAUGCAGGCUCUUGCUCUAAAUCACUUCACAGUUCGCCACAGUGAAAUGCAAUAUGGCAUCUUAAAUAAAAUCACCCUCUUCUGACUCUCGCAGAGGCUGCUUCAGAGCAUUCCCUGGUUUCCAGCAGUUUUAUUUCCUCCCUUAGAGAGACAGACCAGCCUUGACUGAGCAACCGAUUUUCAUGCAUCCUUUAAACCAGCAUUCCCUGCCAUUUCUGAAGGACAGCACACGUUGCUAGCUGUUUCUUCCCCCUUAAACAAUACAGUUUUGGGGUUGGGUUGUGGGUUUUUUGAGUGUUUUUUUUUUUUUUUCCCCUCUCCAUCUCAUUUCUUUCUGCAUGCAAAGUGAUUUGAGAGCCCCGCGACGCAGCCUGCUACAGGAGCGAGGACUUCUCUGGAACAUUGGCGUGCGCAGGGAUUAAUCCCACCGUAGAGAGCCAGCCUGGCCUUUGAAGUGUUACAAGGGGAAGGAGGAGAGCGGAGAGGGAGCGAGCGCUGUACCGCAGACAUCAUUUCUACUACAGUGGUGGAGACAUCCCGGACCUGUGUCACUGCAGGGGGAAGGAAAAAAGCCAAACAAACAAAAAGCAGACCCAAGCCCCGUGAUCAGCUAGGAAGACAUUUGUGUGCGAAUCUCUCUGACCCCCCACCCCCGCCAACCCCACCUCCACUGACACUUUACAUCACAUUGCAGGCCAAGCCAGAUGGGCAAGCAAUACAAGCUGUGAAUUUAUUCUUGACCCCGUAGGACAGUGACCGCCGUCAUUUUUGUCUUCACCGUACAGUUAUGCACUGCCAAUAAGUGAAAAGGUCAAGAAAAGCAGUAGCUCAGUGGCUGAAUUUUUCUGAAGUGCUUUACAGCUUGGAAAGUGGGGAAACCUCUUAAAGUGGUGUCU